UACGUAGGGUGCAAGCGUUGUCCGGAAUUAUUGGGCGUAAAGAGCUCGUAGGCGGUCUGUCGCGUCGGCUGUGAAAACCCGGAGCUCAACUCCGGGCCUGCAGCUGAUACGGGCGGGCUGGAGUUCGGUAGGGGAGACUGGAAUUCCUGGUGUAGCGGUGAAAUGCGCAGAUAUCAGGAGGAACACCGGUGGCGAAGGCGGGUCUCUGGGCCGAUAUUGACGCUGAGGAGCGAAAGCGUGGGGAGCGAACAGG
rnacentral:rRNA from 1 species